rnacentral:tRNA from 1 species
GGAGAGGUCGGAUAACGGUUAUUCCAGCAGGUUGCUAACCUGCGCCGCGCAAGCGGCCUGUGGGUUCGAUUCCCACCCUCUCCG